UGGUAGUCCACGCCCUAAACGAUGAACACUAGUUGUUGCCCUGCACGUCAGGGCAGUAAUGCACCUAACGGAGUAAGUGUUCCGCCUGGGGAGUACGGUCGCAAGAUUAAAACUCAAAGGAAUAGACGGGGACCCGCACAAGCGGUGGAGCAUGUGGUUUAAUUCGAAGAUACGCGAAAAACCUUACCUGGCCUUGAUAUCCCAAGAAUCCUGUAGAGAUACGGGAGUGCUUGCUUGCAAGAACUUGGUGACAGGUGCUGCACGGCUGUCGUCAGCUCGUGUCGUGAGAUGUUGGGUUAAGUCCCGCAACGAGCGCAACCCUCGUGUUUAGUUGCUAACAGUUCGGCUGAGCACUCUAAACAGACUGCCUUCGUAAGGAGGAGGAAGGUGAGGACGACGUCAAGUCAUCAUGGCCCUUAUGGCCAGGGCUACACACGUGCUACAAUGGGUAGGACAAUGAGAUGCAAUACCGUGAGGUGGAGCAAAUCUAUAAACCUACUCUCAGUUCGGAUUGUUCUCUGCAACUCGAGAACAUGAAGCUGGAAUCGCUAGUAAUCGUAGAUCAGCAUUGCUACGGUGAAUACGUUCCCGGGUCUUGUACUCACCGCCCGUCACACCAUGGGAGUUGAUUUCACC
rnacentral:rRNA from 1 species